rnacentral:rRNA from 1 species
CCUACGGGAGGCAGCAGUGGGGAAUAUUGCACAAUGGGGGAAACCCUGAUGCAGCGACGCCGCGUGAGUGAAGAAGUAUUUCGGUAUGUAAAGCUCUAUCAGCAGGGAAGAAAAUGACGGUACCUGAUUAAGAAGCCCCGGCUAACUACGUGCCAGCAGCCGCGGGAAUACGUAGGGGGCAAGCGUUAUCCGGAUUUACUGGGUGUAAAGGGAGCGUAGACGGCAGCACAAGUCUGGAGUGAAAUGCCGGGGCUUAACCCCGGAACUGCUUUGGAAACUGUGCAGCUAGAGUGCAGGAGAGGUAAGUGGAAGUCCUAGUGUAGCGGUGAAAUGCGUAGAUAUUAGGUGGAACACCAGUGGCGAAGGCGGCUUACUGGACUGUAACUGACGUUGAGGCUCGAAAGCGUGGGGAGCAAACAGGAUUAGAUACCCCUGUAGUC